rnacentral:rRNA from 1 species
GAUGAACGCUAGCUACAGGCUUAACACAUGCAAGUCGAGGGGAAACGAUAUUGGAAGCUUGCUUCCGAUAGGCGUCGACCGGCGCACGGGUGAGUAACGCGUAUCCAACCUGCCCAUCACUUGGGGAUAACCUUGCGAAAGUAAGACUAAUACCCAAUGACGUCUCUAGAAGACAUCUGAAGGAGAUUAAAGAUUUAUCGGUGAUGGAUGGGGAUGCGUCUGAUUAGCUUGUUGGCGGGGUAACGGCCCACCAAGGCGACGAUCAGUAGGGGUUCUGAGAGGAAGGUCCCCCACAUUGGAACUGAGACACGGUCCAAACUCCUACGGGGGGCAGCAGUGAGGAAUAUUGGUCAAUGGACGAGAGUCUGAACCAGCCAAGUAGCGUGCAGGAUGACGGCCCUAUGGGUUGUAAACUGCUUUUAUAAGGGAAUAAAGUGAGAGUCGUGACUCUUUUUGCAUGUACCUUAUGAAUAAGGACCGGCUAAUUCCGUGCCAGCCGCCGCCGUAA